AAAACAGACGAUCAGUCAGAGGUCGAAGGAGUAGGGCACCCGCUCGUUGAUUCUUUAACUCACCAGACGCCUCAGCUGAUAGGAGAUACAAAGACAACGAGCACGCCACACCUUCUACCUGUCGCUUCAACACCAACACCAACACCAACGUUUGCUCUCCCCUCUGGGUCUUGGCCUUUGUGGGAGACAUCGACGCCGGUUUCGUCAGUACCUCUGGAUCUACUAUCCGGACCGUUCCCUGCUGAAGACUCGACGUCGGCAUCUGGGCUAUCCGCACCUCCACAGCCACCGUCGCCGACACCAUCAGCACAGCCAGCAACCACAGACAAGCCGCGGACAU